GAGACGCUGGCGGCGUGCUUAACACAUGCAAGUCGAACGGGAGUAUUGAAGAAGCUUGCUUAGAGAUACUUAGUGGCGGACGGGUGAGUAAUGCGUGGGAAUCUACCUGGCAAUGGGGGAUAACCCAGGGAAACUUGGGCUAAUACCGGAUGUGAGCAACUUUUAGUUGUUUGAAAGGUGGCGUAAGCUGUCGCUUGGGGAUGAGCCUGCGUCCUAUUAGUUAGUUGGUGAGGUAACGGCUCACCUAGGCAAUGAUAGGUAGGCGGCCUUAACGGGUGGUCGCCCACACUGGGAUUGAGAUACGGCCCAGACUCCUACGGGAGGCAGCAGUCGAGAAUAGUCUACAAUGGUCGGAAGACUGAUAGUGCGACGCCGCGUGAACGAUGAAUCCCUUCGGGGUGUAAAGUUCUUUUAUAUGUGAGCAGUGCUUCUUAUAUUAACAGUAUGGGGAGAGAGAUAUUAGCAUAUGAAUAAGCAACGGCUAACUCCGUG
rnacentral:rRNA from 1 species